rnacentral:tRNA from 1 species
GGGCCGAUGGUGAAGCUGGUAUCACGCCGCCUUCGCAAGGCGGAGAUCGCAAAAAUGCGACUGUAUCCCCCGAGUUCAAAUCUCGGUCGGUCCACCA